UUACUAACUACCAUCAGGUGAGACUCAUCGUCUAACUUGUCGAGCCUUUCAGUCAGAAGUAGAACCGUGCCUAGCGAAGGAGAGUUGUCUCUCUCCACAGUCCUUCACUUCAUCAUUAUGCAUAGGGCAUCUUAUGAAAGCUGGCAGCUACUCAUUCUUCAAUUCUCCUUUUAUGAUUACUCGGCUGAGAAAAGAGUUAAGGUAUAUAGGCUUUCUAAUUAUAAAAUGUCAAUGAUGGGUUUUGUUUGUCCUGACUAAAUCGACCCAUACAAGUAUGACUUCAGUUAGACCUAGAGCUUCAGUUGAUGAAACGAUCAGCCGUUAUCACAUUCAAUCCUUCAAACCCGCUAAUCCCACUAUCUCAUUUUCAUUGCGCCUUUACUUCGUUGUUCUUAAGCUUCUAGCAGUAUAUAUGCUAGACUUUUAGAGUUGCCUUUUCAAUCUCUCUUCUUCUUCUGAUUCAUCUUUGCUUUCUCUUCUUUUAUUCGUGGCCGCUCUCAGGGGUUAUGGAUGAUAGAGAAAAAUACAUGUUCAUAUCACUUGAAGAGAUGAAUCUGGUUGCAGAUUACAUCAAACAUCAAGAAAGACUUAGUAUCUCGCAUGUAUCCAACAACUGCAUGUAGACCAUGACAUCAGCUUUCUAUCGCUACCAGUUGCAAAUACGGAGGACCUACAUAUCUUACGAAUGGUUGCUGGAUCUAUUGCUAUUGGUAUGGAUUACAUAUUUCACUAUAUCUCACUAAAAUUAUGACAUGUCCCUGCCAUUUAAAGUCAAUCUCAGUGAGUUUUUUCAGUGUCUGGACUUAUAGAGGGUGAUAGGGAGUUUAACUUGGGCUCACUUACACAUUCAUAACUAUGGAAUUAGAGAGCAAUACUGCAGGUUGGUGCAACAUCAUCAAAACAUUAAAGCAUAUUAGUGUUUUCACCGCAUUAAGAAGUUGAAUGGUUUUUUUUAAUCGCUAAAGUUUUGUUCCAAAUCUAAAAAUUUCAUAGAAACUCUACAAUCAUCAAGAUAACUAACAUAAAAACUCCUAAAAUCGCAAAAACCAGAGGUUUUUCUUCAAAACAGACUGAGAGUGAUCGGGGAACUACGGAGACUCCUCAGGCUGCUCCUCUUACUGAGCUGUAAAUUAGUGUUGCAGAUACAAUAGGAAUAACACAGAUGAUUCAGCUGAGUACAGAAUUUUAUUUAGAAAGAAGCGUUAAUAAAGCCCACAGUCAGAUUCUUUCCAGCCCAGAAUUAGUUUCUCACGCUGAAAGACAACUUAAGGAAGCCAUUCAUGAAGUUCUCUACAAAUUUGUAAGAAACGAGGAAAUGAUGGAAGUUUUCGCAUUCUAAGCAAUAGGCAUAUGUGUCCUGGAAGCAUUAAAAGGAAAGACAAAGCUUAAAGUCUAAUGGAACUACGGCAGACACGGAACAGAGUUGCUCUGUAAUAACAGAGGCCUGCCUAACUAACCUUCAUGGGGAUAUCUACUAACGAGUGGUAAACGGGACAUGAGGCGCCUUUCACUGUCAGAUUCACACCUGGAUACUAAAAGCUGUCUGUGAUAUUCUUAUGAUGAAAAAAUAAUUGAAUUUUUUUACCCAUUUUCCAUAACCAUAUUUAUGAUUCCACUGUAAAGUAUAAUAGAAUAGAUAUAUUAUUGUGUUGGGUUUGAUAAGAAAAUACAAUAUGCAUAUAUAUAGUGGUAACAUUAACAUAAUGUUAACACUAAAUAAUGCUAACUUUCCUAAACGCUUAAUGUAAAUAUGCUAGAAUAUCUUGACAGUAACUUGUUCUUCAAGUCUUUCCUUUUAAUCUUUGGAGUCUUCAUGGGUUUCACGGGCUUCACAAUCUAGGUCCGUAAGAUACAUAUCUUCCGGCCCAACAUAUCUCUAAUACUCCCCCGCACGACAAACGUGGGAUGUAACACGCAAAUCUGCAGUCACAAAGCAGACCACGUAUGUCGUGGACACUAUGUCGAGAAAAACAAAUCAGUAGAUUCCUUCGGGAAUAAACUUCAACUUUAGACAAGGAGGGAUGAAAUCUUCAGCUCUUCUUCGGUCUUGACAAUGAGAAUACAUCUCGUGGGCGCAACUGCAGCUCCAUAAACAAUUAUCCUUGACUUGGACAGUCCAUAACACGGACUAAAAAACUGACCUAAGAAUUUGAGCAUUCAACUAGAACUCCCCCGUAAUGGUUAAACUAUGAUCAAUAAAUCCCAAACUAUGGAAAAACAACACGACAUAAACUCUGAGAAAUUCUAAACUAUAGAAAAUCUCUAACAAAAAUAACCAAUGUGAAAUCACAAACCCUUAGCAUUACUAAACCCUCAAAUCCUUUUGCACUGAUCACCCGACCAAAACCCAAGAAAAAAAAAAUAAAACCCUAAUAAAAAAAAAAACAAAACCCUAAUAAAAAAAACAAAACCCAACUUCACGUGAAUCAACGUCGUCAUCCGGAUCAUCUUCGCCGUCUUCAUCGUCAACACCACCGAUGAACGCCAUCAAAGCUCUAAACUUAUAAUGCGGAAGUUUUAAUUUUGAUCCCUAAAAAUCGAAUGCUCUGAUACCAUGUAAAGUAUAAUAGAAUAGAUAUAUUAUUGUGUUGUGUUUGAUAAGAAAAUACAAUAUGCAUAUAUAUAGUGAUAACAUUAACAUAAUGUUAACACUAAAUAAUGCUAACUUUCCUAAACACUUAAUGUAAAUAUGCUGGAAUAUCUUGACAGUAACUUGUUCUUCAAGUCUUUCCUUUUAAUCUUUGGAGUCUUCAUGGGUUUCACGGGCUUCACAAUCUAGGUCCGUAAGAUACAUAUCUUCCGGUCCAACAUAUCUCUAAUAUCCACUUUUUUAGUUUUGACAUACAAGUGAUUUUUGAAUGAUAGAACAUGGGUGAGUCACAUUUUGAAAAUUCUACUCUGUUCGGUAAAUUGGAUGUUACAUAUAUAAUAAAACGGAUGAUAAAUAUUUUGGUUUAUAUCUCGGUUACAUUUUAGGCAAAAAAAAAAAGAAAAAAGUCUUAUGAUAUCUGGUUUUCUAAAGCCAGAACAAAACAUCUCAUUUAUUUAUCCAGCGAAGAAGAAAAUUAAAACAUAAAUGGAUUUGUGAGAAAUUAUUGCUAACAGAUAAACUAUGAGAAUGAGCAUAUGAUGAUGAUUUCAUUUAUUUGUGACUAUGUGCUUAUACACGUAAAAAAAAAACUCCUCACAAACAAUCAAAUUAUAAGGAUUGAUUAAUUUUAUUUAUUUUAUUUAGUGGUAAAUUUUAAUUUUUUUGCAAUUUAGAUAUAUGAAAAUAGAAAACUAUGUUAAAUUGCAAUAUGUUUUUUGUUUUGAUCAACUUAAAUAUAUCUUUUAUAUAUUUUAGUUGAUGAACGCUAAAUUUUCUUUCAAGUUGUAUGCAUGAUAUAAUACAAACAACAACAACUGAAGCCGUGAUUAAGACCCACCUGCUGGUGGCAGUCUCUAUCUUUUUUUUGGUCGAAUCAGUCUCUAUCUUUUAAAUUGCUCUUUUGUAAGCUGCAAUGAGUCUGCAAACUCAUAUAUGGUGUUCAAAAAAAAAAUAAACCCUGCAAACCCAUAUAUGGUGUGAACUGUGAAGCAUGGAAGUGAUACUGAUGCCUGACUAAGAGAACUAGCUAGCUUCUCUUCAAUUCUUUGUUUCUACGAAGCUGGUUUGGUUUUGUGUAUUGGUGCUUCACCUUUCUUCUCUUAAACUCUAUUUUGUUUCUAUUUAAAGGUUUUUGUUUUGUUUAUUACAUAAGCGCUUCACCUUUCUUUUCUUAAACUCUGCUCUGUGUUUAAUGAUUCGCUUCUGAGAAAUUUCAACCGCUCUAUUCUUCCUAAUGUACGCAUAACAGAACACCCUCUUCCAAAAGUUCGAUGUUAUUGAUGUUUCUAGAGAAGAUGUUACACGUCAUAUUCCUUAAAAAAUUAUUGUUAUCUUCACCUCUUUAAAUAUAUUACAAUAAUAAUUAUGUGGAUAAACUUAAAAAUAGUAAAUACUAAUAAUGUAAAUCUACAAUAAAGAUUUAUUAGUUUCCCUACAAUUUUUUUUCUUUCUAAAAUAGCAUUAUAAACACAUUAGUCCCAUUUCUACUGCCGUAUAUAAAAAUGGUCAUAUACGCGACAAAAAAAAGCAUAAUAAAAAUUAAAAAUUACAAUUUCACAAAAUAUAUUACACACUAAAUAACAAUCAAAACACAUUAAAAUAUGCAAUUAUUAAGUAAAAUAAAUAUAACUCUUCAGCACGAGUAUUUAUAUAUUUUACUUUAUGCAUACAUAAACAAACUUCCGAUUGCUUCUUAGCUUGAUUACAUAUAUGAGUGAAUCACCGGAAAUGUUCUCCAUUGUAUUGGCUUGGCUUGUCUAGGGACUUAUUAUAUCUCUAUGAUUUUAUUUAACAAUCAACAGAUACAAAAAGUGUAUUCACUUGAUUUGGCCAAGCUCAUGUGAGUGUAAAGCAUAUUUUUGUCUGUGAACUUGAUUUGAAUGAUGAGAUAACUAUCUAAUCUGCAACCUCUUUUGGAGGUUUUGUUUGAUUGUGCUUAAUGAUAAUUAGUCUUGCCAUUCUAAUAUGUUUUUCUUUUCGUCUAUUGUCAGAAAAAUGAAAUAAGUCAACACUUUCAAAGCCCCAAAAAGAAGAAGAAAGGAUAGUAAAUGAUGAACAUAAGAAUGUAACUUGUUGGGAGACGGGGGAACAAAAAUUGUUAACCUAAAUUAAGGCAAAAAAUUUAAAGCUUAAUUGUCUUUUUCUUCACGUAAAUAAAGGCCAUUGCAAGUGGCGAGUCUGGUGACCUAUUUUAUGAGAACUAGAAGUGGACACGGGACAAGUACUUACUAUUUUAGCUAUACGUAUUACCCGAUUUACCCCGUAUAAAUAUUGUAAAUUAUGAUUUAUUACUCGACUUGUUUGAAGCAAGUACUUAAUCUUUCAAGUAUUCGUCCCGAAAAGUAAUGCUUUCAAAUAUUAAGUAAUUGGUAAGAAAUUAGGGCACAUUGUAGGGUGAUUCACGAAGACAUCAAUAGAAAAUCAUGUGGUUUGUCAAGCACUGGCUAAGGUUUGAGGAUGUUUAGAUUGUGAUGCUAGUGAUUUCACAGCGAGAGAUUGAGGAUGAAGUAGGUUUUUAAUGUUGGGGAUACUUAAUCUUGAAAGUCAUUUUUACGUUUAGGGCAUGACACCGAUUUUUUCCUCAGGCUUUACAGAUUUCUGGUUUUGUGUUCGUGUUUUCCUUCUAUCUCCAAGUAAAAAAACACUUCUACCAAAAAAACUUUCCAUAUUUGAGAAAUAGAAGAAUCUAACCUAGAUUCCAACUACAAAAACCUAUAAAAAGACUCUAAAUCCUAGAAGAGAGGGAUCGACUAAUACAUACUUUGACUAUAGCAACUGGUAGCUAGAACUAGAGUUUCCGGACCAAUACGUUGUACUCAUGCUCUAUUGAUCAAUAAAACAUUACUUUUCAUUAUUCUUCUUCUUCUUUUAUUUCACUACUUCAUGUUUUUAUAGUAUCACGAUAACCAUAUUUUAUUCUAUCGUAACAGUUUAGCGCUAGAAGGAAGAGAAUAACCAUGACUACGUGAAGAUGACUGAAAGUGAGAAUAAUUUUUCUAUUGAUGUCCAGCUUGAAACCUUGCAAAAACAAAUCACUGAGGUUAAUUUUGGCCCAAAAAAGGAAUAGCAUACCUUGUGAUUAAUCCCAAAAUCAUCUCAGAGAUACAGAUCUUUAAAGAAAAGAUGGAAGAAUACUCUAAGCAGUUGGAGCAGAGCAUACAUAAGUUAUUACAGCUUGAAGCAGAGAACUUAGUUCUCUGAGAAGAAAAAUUAAGCCAUCAACACUAUGGGAAAGAAAUGACGAAAGUUUCAAACCCGCAUUCGACCUAUGCAACCCUUGGAUACUUUUGCUGAAGGAGACAACACGAGUCAAUGGAUACUAUUAUAGAAUGAAGAACAGACUGAAGGAACCAGUAUCACAAAUAUAAAUGAUGUUAACUCGACCGGAGAUGGCGAUAACUCUGACACGGAUAUGGAUAUCAAGAUGCACAGCUGCGGCCAAGAAAUCGACAAAAUGGCUUAUCUGAAAGAAUUAUUCUCUAGGAAAUUCAAAGCGGUCUGAUAACUUAUAGAAAAACUUCAUGGUGUCGCUCCUCCAAUCAAGAGAAGUGCUCCAGCUUCCUACGCAGACACUUUUCACAGUCGAGAUCGCCCUGAUCGAGAUUGCCAAGAAAGUUCUUUUUUUUUUGAAUAUGAGAAUGUUUGAAGAAACUGGUGACCCAGACAAUCAUGUGGCCUAGUACAAAUAUCAAAUGAUAAAUACAUCUAAUUUAUAUGAGGCUCAAAGUUCUUGUUUAUGAUUCUAUAAUAAUCAAGUCAUCAAAAAAAGGUGUUAGACAUUAAACUCUGCAAUCUUCAUAUGACAUUUCCCCGUACAUUAGCCUCACUCGAUCGAUAUCACAAAUCACUUUCCGACAGAUUACCCAUCUUUCUACAAUUCCAGUUCAAACACACUUAACUUUAGAACUUUUUUCUGUACAAGUCACCAAAAAAUAAAUGCACGUUGAUGACAUAGAUAGCAAAAUUAAUUCUUUUAGACCUUUCAACAUAUAACAUAAACCAUGAUUUACAAAGUUAUCAACUAAGAGAGAGAAUCCAAAGAGUACACUAUGAGACCAAUGUUUUUCUUAUAGUGCCAAUGCUCAAAAGGGUUCCAUUUAAAGCACACUCGAAGACCAUCAUCCUAUUAAAAGGGUCAACUUCUUCAUAGUAUCCAAUCAGAUUCAAAAAGUUCUUAUGGUUGAUCCGCGAGAGUAUCUCAAUCUAGAAGAAGACUUACACUAACUCCAUUUCAAAAAGUAUAGUUAUAUAAUGGUAAGACAUUUAAGUUGAUGAGUGAUUAUCCUUUCUAAGAUAAUGCCAUUUCCAUGGCUCUGGUCCAUUCUUUAAAUUCAGAAAUCAUAGUUGAAGCCACAACUAUCUCAACACCACUUGACAAAGUUCCUUCAUACAAAGUGUGAACAUCAAAGGCCUCGAUGAUAUUGCUGAAAAUCCUCACACACUGUUUCUAGCUCAGUCCGGUUCAGAUUUGGUACCCCUAUGACAUUUUCAUAAUGUUCUCAGUUUCAAAUGAUAACAUCCUUAUAUAAAACAUAAAUGAAGAUGCAAUCCAGAAUUUGUAGAUGUCAAUAGUCUGCCUUGACCAAGCCGGGAUGAAGUCAUUGAUGCUUGACUGCAUUAGUCGUUAAUACAUAAGGCAUGUAAAGUGGGAGUAACACGUGGAUGCAAGAUGCUGAUCUGGAGAAAGAUAAACUUGAGGUUUUUGCCUUGACGAAGUUGUUGACGCAUGCUAUGUUAGACAAUGUUCCAGGAGGCAUGCAAGGUGGUGGAGACCAUGUGGAUACAAGUUGGUGAGCUGGAUUAGGGUAAAUUUGAGGAAUGAAUUUAUGCCUAGGAGAAAAGGCAAAAAGAUAAAUCUGGGUUAAGUUUAUGCCUUGAAAAAGAAUAAGUACAAUUCCAAGAAAAAAUAAUUUGUACUUAUUAAUAUGAAAGCUGUUCAUAUUCAUGGUUUCUUUGUGUGAUCUUUGGACUAUGAUUUUGGAAACGUGGAGAUCACUAUAAAAUAGCAAGAGGUUGAUGAAGAAUCAACUAGACACUCGAGGCUGAAUUAAUAGAGCAAGAGUGAAAAUCUCUUGGAAGUGUUCUUGGUAUCGUUUUGAGUUAGAGACUAAUGUAUCAUGCGACGAGAUAUGUAAGCUAGGUAGCUUGGGUGUCAUUUCAGUAGCAAUUGUUAGGGAAAUAACUAGUUGUGUAAAGUUGAUUAAGUAAGUUUUGUAAUGAUUGUCUAAGGUGUUAUCUAAUAUAGAAAAACAUAUUUAAAAGUUCCCUUUAUAUACUGAUUUGUCUUUUGCAUUACUUUACCAUGUUGCAUCCUACACUUACAUAAAACAGAGUAAUAACAGGGUAGAAACAGAGUAAUGAUUGUAAAACAGAGUCAAAGAGAAAUAAGUUUUGUAUCAGUAACAAAAACUUUAUGCAACUUCCCACCAAGACCAGUUGUCCAAGGCCUAUGCUCUCUACAGCACUUUUCCGGCAGAAGAAUAUUAUGGCUAUUAUAAUUAGCAAACCAGAGAAAAAAGCUACCACAAUAAAUGUUUUGACUGUUUAUUAUCUUGCGGCUGAUUCUUGGAGAAUAAGUGUUCUCAUCAGGAGAAGGUAGAGGAGAGUCUAAAAAUACAUUCUCUUGUUUGCAUUGGGUACUGCAGGGAAAGACCCACUGCUACUGAGAUUAUGACUAUUAUAAUCUGAGGAGAAGGACUAGGAGAUUGAGGAGCAGGUUCAUCCGCCAAGUUACUUGUUUUUUUCUAAUAACUCACGUCGUUUGAAGAUAUCAGCUUCCUUAAAAAAAAAACCUGCAAGAGUCACACUGAAAUCUUUAAGUACUAAUCCUGAGUCUCUAAGCUAAGAAAUGUGAAUCUGAACUUACUUGGGAAUGCAGUUAAGAAAUUCCUUGAGGUCGUUUUGAUCCAGAAUACAAAAGUUUCAACCUUUUUACUCGAAUGAUAUGGCUUCUUGAAAAAAAAAUGCCAAGAGAGAUAACAGUGAAGAUGAAUGACCAAACAACAGUCUUAGGUAAACAGAAUAAGAAUAUUAUAGACUGAAGUCUCACCUCUUAUCACUCACAAAUUGGUUCACUCACAAGAGUGUUAGAUAUUUUAUUCUUUUGUCUGUUACAGGAAGAAAAGUUUCCAUUGAACUUUUCGCCUUUGGAAUACUAGGGACUAAGGUCCCACAUCAGAAGUUGGAAGAGAAUUUAAGAGCAUCUCCAAUAGUGUAUCAAAAUGAGGGAAAACAUCAAAAAAUAAGGAAAAUUCAUCUCCAAUAGUACAUCAUUUUGAGGAAAAAAAUGAGGAUAUGAACCGUAUUUCCUCAAAUUUGAGAGAACACUAUUCACAGCCUCAUUUUGAUGUCAAGUUUUUUUUUAUUUACAUAAUGGUCUUUUACUUUUUAACAAUUUUUAUUUUAUGCAUAAACAAAAUAUUAACAAUAAACAUAACUUCUAUAACUUUAUAUCCAAAAUGUAUAUACUGAUUAAACUUCUUAAAAUAUAAUUACCCAUAAUUAGUUAUGAAAAUAUAAUUUAUAAAUUAUAAUAUAUAAUUAAAAGAAAAUAAAAUAGAAAACAAUAUCAUUAACCAAUACAAAGUUAAGUAAUAAUAUUGUUUAAGUAAAAUUCUACUAUUACUUUGUAUGUUGUUAUGUACCUUUAUUAAUGUAAUAAAUAUUUGCUUUUUAUAAGUUAAAAUUUGGUUAAAUUAUAAAAUUUAAAAAUAAGUGAGUAUAAUCUAAAAUCUUAUGAAAUAAAAGGUGUUAUUUGCAAUAACUAAAAAGUUGAAGAAUGAAUAUAAUAAUAAUUGAGGGAGAAAAUAAGGGGAACCAUUGGAGCAAAUCACAAUCUCAUUUUUAGUUUACUUCAUUUUGAGGGAAAAAAUGAGGAAAACCAUUGGAGAUGGUCUAAGUAAUAU